AGAGUUUGAUCCUGGCUCAGGAUGAACGCUGGCGGCGUGCUUAACACAUGCAAGUCGAACGAACCUUCGGGUUAGUGGCGGACGGGUGAGUAACGCGUGAGAAUCUGCCCUCAGGAGGGGGAUAACGGCUGGAAACGGCCGCUAAUACCCCAUAUGCCGCGAGGUGAAAUGAAUUUCGCCUGAGGAUGAGCUCGCGUCUGAUUAGCUAGUUGGUGGGGUAAAGGCCUACCAAGGCAUCGAUCAGUAGCUGGUCUGAGAGGAUGAUCAGCCACACUGGGACUGAGACACGGCCCAGACUCCUACGGGAGGCAGCAGUGGGGAAUUUUCCGCAAUGGGCGAAAGCCUGACGGAGCAACGCCGCGUGAGGGAUGAAGGCCUCUGGGCUGUAAACCUCUUUUAUCAAGGAAGAAGAUCUGACGGUACUUGAUGAAUAAGCCACGGCUAAUUCCGUGCCAGCAGCCGCGGUAAUACGGGAGUGGCAAGCGUUAUCCGGAAUUAUUGGGCGUAAAGCGUCCGCAGGCGGCCCUUCAAGUCUGCUGUUAAAAAGUGGAGCUUAACUCCAUCAUGGCAGUGGAAACUGUUGGGCUUGAGUGUGGUAGGGGCAGAGGGAAUUCCCGGUGUAGCGGUGAAAUGCAUAGAUAUCGGGAAGAACACCAGUGGCGAAGGCGCUCUGCUGGGCCAUCACUGACGCUCAUGGACGAAAGCCAGGGGAGCGAAAGGGAUUAGAUACCCCUGUAGUCCUGGCCGUAAACGAUGAACACUAGGUGUCGGGGGAAUCGACCCCCUCGGUGUCGUAGCCAACGCGUUAAGUGUUCCGCCUGGGGAGUACGCACGCAAGUGUGAAACUCAAAGGAAUUGACGGGGGCCCGCACAAGCGGUGGAGUAUGUGGUUUAAUUCGAUGCAACGCGAAGAGCCUUACCAGGGUUUGACAUCCUGCGAAUCUCUUGGAAACAAGAGAGUGCCUUCGGGAACGCAGUGACAGGUGGUGCAUGGCUGUCGUCAGCUCGUGUCGUGAGAUGUUGGGUUAAGUCCCGCAACGAGCGCAACCCACGUCUUUAGUUGCCAGCAUUCAGUUGGGCACUCUAGAGAGACCGCCGGUGAUAAACCGGAGGAAGGUGUGGAUGACGUCAAGUCAUCAUGCCCCUUACAUCCUGGGCUACACACGUACUACAAUGCUACGGACAAAGGGCAGCAAGUUCGCGAGGACAAGCAAAUCCCAUAAACCGUGGCUCAGUUCAGAUCGUAGGCUGCAACUCGCCUACGUGAAGGCGGAAUCGCUAGUAAUCGCAGGUCAGCAUACUGCGGUGAAUACGUUCCCGGGCCUUGUACACACCGCCCGUCACACCAUGGAAGUUGGCCACGCCCGAAGCCGUUACUCCAACCCUUGUGGAGGAGGACGUCAAAGGUGGGGCUGAUGACUGGGGUGAAGUCGUAACAAGGUAACC
rnacentral:rRNA from 1 species